GUGAGGAAUAUUGGUCAAUGGGCGAGAGCCUGAACCAGCCAAGUCGCGUGAAGGAAGAAGGAUCUAUGGUUCGUAAACUUCUUUUGCAGGGGAAUAAAGUGCGGGACGUGUCCUGUUUUGUAUGUACCCUGUGAAUAAGGAUCGGCUAACUCCGUGCCAGCAGCCGCGGUAAUACGGAGGAUCCGAGCGUUAUCCGGAUUUAUUGGGUUUAAAGGGUGCGUAGGUGGUUUGAUAAGUCAGCGGUGAAAGUUUGCAGCUUAACUGUAAAAAUGCCGUUGAAACUGUCGGACUUGAGUGUAAAUGAGGUAGGCGGAAUGCGUGGUGUAGCGGUGAAAUGCAUAGAUAUCACGCAGAACUCCGAUUGCGAAGGCAGCUUACUAAGCUACAACUGACACUGAAGCACGAAAGCGUGGGGAUCAAACAGGAUUAGAAACCCCAGUAGUCC
rnacentral:rRNA from 1 species